rnacentral:rRNA from 1 species
CGCGUAGGCGGCUUGAUAAGUGUGGUGUGAAAUCUCCAGGGCUUAACCCGGAAACUGCACCGCAGACUGUCAGGCUUGAGGAAUGCAGAGGUAACUGGAAUUCCUGGUGUAGCGGUGAAAUGCGUUGAUAUCAGGAGGAACACCCAUGGCGAAGGCAGGUUACUGGGCAUUAUCUGACGCUGAGGCGCGAAAGCGUGGGUAGCAAACAGGAUUAGAUACCCUGGUAGUCCACGCCCUAAACGAUGGAUACUAGGCGUAAGAGGUAUCGACCCCUCUUGUGCCGCAGCUAACGCACUAAGUAUCCCGCCUGGGGAGUACGGCCGCAAGGUUGAA